CUGCGACAGGACGGAAAGACCCCAUGGAGCUUUACUGUAGCUUGACAUUGGGUCUUGGUACUACAUGUACAGGAUAGGUGGGAGGCUUUGAAACCAGGACGCCAGUUUUGGCGGAGCCAUCCUUGGGCUACCACCCUUGUAGUACUGGGACUCUAACCAUAGGCCAUGAAUCUGGUCUUGGGACACUGUCAGGUGGGCAGUUUGACUGGGGCGGUCGCCUCCCAAAAGGUAACGGAGGCGCUCAAAGGUUCUCUCAGUACGGUCGGAAAUCGUACGUAGAGUGUAAAGGCAAAAGAGAGCUUGAUUGCAAGACAUACAGGUCGAGCAAGGAUGAAAA
rnacentral:rRNA from 1 species